UUUUACUUCCUUAUAGUUUCUAUUUCUAGCAUGGCUUAUGGUUGGGGGUUUCUUACCUAAUACUGCAGUGACCUCUCACACAUAGUUCUUGUCCACUAUCGGGAAGUAAAGGGCAAUAGGACAAAUUUUAACCGCAUUAAAGAGACUGAGGAAGCUAUUCCCUAUUCCCAAGAAACUGAAGACAUUUUACCCAACUCUGAGAUUGAUAGCUCUGGGGCUUCUAAUUUUCAUCUAAAUAAUUACCGAGUGCCUUCACAAACUACAGAUACAACAAGCCUGAACAGUGUUCAGGCAUCAGAUUAUGAAGACACUGAAUCAGCAUACAAUCACCAAGCAAGCUCUGGACUCCACUGUUUCCUUGAAUCACAACAGUCCAUGGUGGAGAAGAUUAAUGCCGGACUUGCUAAUCCUUAUUUUGAUGCAUCAAGUUCAAGAGAUUUUCAAGGAAAGUUGUCAGCCAUUUCUAGGGUAGAUUUUGUCUCUCUCACUCUAGCAGAUAAAGUGAAAGACAGCAACAAUCCUGAAUCAAAACACCUUGAUUUUGCGUUGUGGGAUGAUAUAUUGGGAAAUGGUACUUCUGGUGGUGAAGCUGUCCCUUUACAGCCAUCAUUUCCAGAAACACAACCUGAUACCAUUGGAGUCCUUUCUAAACAAGAAAACCAGAUACUGGGGCAACUUUUCACUAGCAACCUUGAAAUCCAGGAG